AGCAUGUUUGAUGGGACAGGGAUUCAAACUUGCGACCCUCAGAUUGCGAGUCGAGUGCCGUAACCACCUGGCCAUGCCAGGCCCAUUUUACAAAAGACUUGUAUUAUAAACAUUCCUGAACCAAGCUCUCAAGAGUUCUGUAACUGGAGAUUACGUUCUCAAGCCUUGAUACAAAGUAGUAGUAUAUCAAUAGCGUGAAAGCAGGACAUUGGAAUUACUCCAUUGAGUGGCAGAUUCUGAGCAGAAACUUGAGAAGACGUAGUAUUCAUACCAUCUUUGUGCAUUAUACUUUUUAAUAAAGAUGAGCUCAAAGAUGUUUAUUCCAGUAGCCUAACGUAACGAUAACUAUGUUGGUUUACCUAUUGGUAAGAUAAAACCAGUGUCCUAGUAUGUAUAUAAUGGUACUAAUAGGUUAAUAGUGUCACAGUCGUGGCUACUGUCUAAAUCUUUUGAUCGUUCUCUUUAACAUUUUGAAAUAAUUUGUCAUUGGAUGUAAGAGUUAUUACAAGGUCAAGAGGGAUGGAGAUGUUGAUGAGUUUAAUGAGAUGAGUUUUACAUAUAAUAAUCACGUGCAUGUAAAGCAAAAUUUACUGUUCUCUAUUUCUAGUUCUUACUGACUAAAACUUGGUUUUUAACCAUAAGUUGUUUACAUUACAGUUAGCCGUUCAACGACACGUAUUGCACAAAAACUUUGUGAAAAACAUUAAAAAAAAUUAACUCUACAGUUUCGUACUGUACGUUUCCGAAUGUUUUUGUGAAUAUGAAAAAAAUUGAUUUCGAUAUUAUGUGUAAUACUGGAUACAACCUAUCGAGUGAAGUGGCGAGAUUUCUAACUUGGGAAGUGUUUUCAACUCUAUUUUCUUGGUUGUGGCUUCCUUAAAUCCUUAUUCUUAUUUGGAAUAACAGUUUAAGUAGAAAUUAUAGCUUUAUUAGCACACACACACACACACA